GAUGAACGCUAGCGGCAGGCUUAAUACAUGCAAGUCGAGGGGGCAGCGGGGGUAGCAAUACCUGCCGGCGACCGGCAAACGGGUGCGGAACACGUACGCAACCUUCCUUUAACUGGAGCAUAGCCCCGAGAAAUCGGGAUUGAUACUCCGUAACAAUAUGAAGUGGCAUCACUUUAUAUUUAUAGGCUUCGGUCGGUUAAAGAUGGGCGUGCGCCUGAUUAGAUAGUUGGCGGGGUAACGGCCCACCAAGUCUGCGAUCAGUAACUGGUGUGAGAGCACGACCAGUCACACGGGCACUGAGACACGGGCCCGACUCCUACGGGAGGCAGCAGUAAGGAAUAUUGGUCAAUGGACGCAAGUCUGAACCAGCCAUGCCGCGUGGAGGAUUAAGGCCCUCUGGGUUGUAAACUCCUUUUAUCUGGG
rnacentral:rRNA from 1 species